CAGCAGCCGCGGUAAUACGGAGGGUGCAAGCGUUAUCCGGAUUUAUUGGGUUUAAAGGGUCCGUAGGCGGAUCUGUAAGUCAGUGGUGAAAUCUCACAGCUUAACUGUGAAACUGCCAUUGAUACUGCAGGUCUUGAGUAAAUUUGAAGUGGCUGGAAUAAGUAGUGUAGCGGUGAAAUGCAUAGAUAUUACUUAGAACACCAAUUGCGAAGGCAGGUCACUAAGAUUUAACUGACGCUGAUGGACGAAAGCGUGGGGAGCGAACAGGAUCAGAUACCCCUGUAGUCCCUGUCUCUUAUAC
rnacentral:rRNA from 1 species